GUUGUAUAGUUAAGUGACUAAGCGUACAAGGUGGAUGCCUUGGCAAUCAGAGGCGAGGAAGGACGUGCUAAUCUGCGAAAAGCUUGGAUGAGUCGAUAAGAGGCGUUUAAUCCAAGAUGUCCGAAUGGGGAAACCCAGUAGAUGAAGAAUCUACUAUCACUUACUGAAUCCAUAGGUAAGUGAGGCAAACCGGGAGAACUGAAACAUCUAAGUACCCCGAGGAAAAGAAAUCAACCGAGAUUUCGUUAGUAGCGGCGAGCGAACGCGAAGGAGCCUGUUAGUGAUAAUGACAGAGACAGAGGAACAAGCUGGGAAGCUUGGCGAUACAGGGUGAUAGCCCCGUACUCGAAGUCCAGGUCAUGGUACUAAGCU
rnacentral:rRNA from 1 species